rnacentral:lncRNA from 1 species
CUGGUGCCUUCUUUCCGGGGCUACCCGGACGGCAGUCAACGGUGGAAGAAUGAGCUCUAGUAGCUGCUGCUUCCCAGGCGCUCGGAGAUGGGCAGCGAGAGCGCGCGUAGCAGCAGCACCAGCUCCGGGGCCGCCGCCGCUGAUCUUCUCUUCCUUCGGGGCUGGACCGCGCGCCUUCCUCAGCACGCCGCCGCCACGCAGCCCUCGGUCUCCGGGUCAAUGGCGCUAUCCCCCUAGGAUGGAUUACUCUGUGCUUGGGAAGGGGAUCUUCAGAGAUCAACAAUGA